UGCAGUUGUGUGAUCACCCAACAGUCCC
rnacentral:piRNA from 1 species